AUGGAUGCAGCAGUAUUAGGUAGUGAAGGUGUGUGUUUAUUAAAGUGUGCACACCUGCACCCCAUAGGCUUUCUGGACACCCCUCAACAGGAGUGGGGAACAGAAGAGGGAGAGGGGGAACAGGAGAGGGAACAGAAGAGGAAGAAUGGGAACAGGAGAGGGGAACAGAAGAGGAAGAAUGGGAACAGGAGAGGGGAACAGAAGAGGAAGAAUGGGAACAGGAGAGGGGAACAGAAGAGGAAGAGGGGGGACAGGAGAGGGGAACAGAAGAGGAAGAAUGGGAACAGGAGAGGGGAACAGAAGAGGAAGAAUGGGAACAGGAGAGGGGAACAGAAGAGGAAGAAUGGGAACAGGAGAGGGGAACAGAAGAGGAAGAAUGGGAACAGGAGAGGGGAACAGAAGAGGGAGAGUGGGAACAGGAAAGGGGAACAUAAGAGGAAGAAUGGGAACAGGAAAGGGGAACAGAAGAGGGAGAUUGGGAACAGGAGAGGGGAACAGAAGAGGAAGAAUGGGAACAGGAGAGGGGAACAGAAGAGGAAGAAUGGGAACAGGAGAGGGGAACAGAAGAGGAAGAAUGGGAACAGGAGAGGGGAACAGAAGAGGAAGAAUGGGAACAGGAGAGGGGAACAGAAGAUGAAGAAUGGGAACAGGAGAGGGGAACAGAAGAGGGAGAGUGGGAACAGGAGAGGGGAACAGAAGAGGAAGAAUGGGAACAGGAGAGGGGAACAGAAGAGGAAGAAUGGGAACAGGAGAGGGGAACAGAAGAGGGAGAGUGGGAACAGGAGAGGGGAACAGAAGAGGAAGAAUGGGAACAGGAGAGGGGAACAGAAGAGGAAGAAUGGGAACAGGAGAGGGAAACAGAAGAGGGAGAGUGGGAACAGGAGAGGGGAACAGAAGAGGGAGAGUGGGAACAGGAGAGGGGAACAGAAGAGGGAGAGUGGGAACAGGAGAGGGGAACAGAAGAGGAAGAAUGGGAACAGGAGAGGGGAACAGAAGAGGAAGAAUGGGAACAGGAGAGGGGAACAGAAGAGGAAGAAUGGGAACAGGAGAGGGGAACAGAAGAGGGAGAGUGGGAACAGGAGAGGGGAACAGAAGAGGAAGAAUGGGAACAGGAGAGGGGAACAGGAGAGGAAGAAUGGGAACAGGAGAGUGGAACAGAAGAGGAAGAAUGGGAACAGGAGAGGGGAACAGAAGAGGGAGAGUGGGAACAGGAGAGGGGAACAGAAGAGGAAGAAUGGGAACAGGAGAGGGGAACAGAAGAGGAAGAAUGGGAACAGGAGAGGGAAACAGAAGAGGGAGAGUGGGAACAGGAGAGGGGAACAGAAGAGGAAGAAUGGGAACAGGAGAGGGGAACAGAAGAGGGAGCGUGGGAACAGAAGAGGGAGAGUGGGAACAGAAGAGGGAGAGUGGGAACAGGAGAGGGGAACUAAAGAGGGAAAGUGGGAACAGGAGAGGGGGACAUAA
rnacentral:lncRNA from 1 species